CGGACGGCCCUUCGCGCUUCUUCAGUCUUCUGUUCUGUUCUUCCCCCCUUCUUUUGGUGUUCACUCCGUUUACGUCUCCGUGCGUCCACUUCGUGUUCCAGACUCAGGCUUCCAACGACGAAGUUGUUAGGCGGUUCGACGUGUUCCAGUCACAUAGCAUCUCCGCGUUCGGCGUUCGAGCAGCUCUGUUUGUCCAACAUUUGGGUUCGACGACAACGAGUUCAGUGACGACGAAAGAAGGUCCUAUAUGGGGCUCAUUUGGAAACUCUGAUUUUCCUCCUUUUGUUGGGUGUACUGAGGAAGCCCACUGUCCUGUAGAAUGUGGCACCGUAGCCAAGUGGGUUUUGAAGAACAGUGCCUAGUCAGAAGAUAUGAAUUGGUAUGCAUGAAGAUCUUAGCAAUCAGAAUUAUUCUUCUUAUUUGACCUACGUGCAUGUCUUGACUUACAGAGUACUCUAAACAUAGUUACUAAAUCUGAUGUGUCAGCCUUUUGAAUACAUUUAAAAUUUCCACAUCUGUGUAGACGUGUGUUCCUCAGCAAUGAUACACAUGUUUUGGCAUCAUGGGUUGAAGAUAAAGAAUUAAUUUGAAUGUAAAGUUAACAACAUUUUUUUUUAUGUUGGAAAAAAAAUAAGUAGAUCAUUAUAUUAUUCUUUUAUUAAUUACUGAGUUAUGUUGCUGUGUCUUCAGGAUACUGGCUAAUUCCAAGCCUUGUCCAAGGUGCAAGCGACCAAUCGAGAAAUAACAGGGCUGUAUGCAUAUGACAUGUACACACCCAUGCAUAUGAUUGAAUUUUGCUAGAAAGCUUCUAUACAUGUUUUAGACAUUAAAUAUAUACUGAAACUGUGGUUUUCCUUCAAUUUUGAAUUUUUCACCUAA